UAUUUUUCCACUAUUGAUUGCCUAGUAGAGUGGCUAAAUACAGUGACUGUAUUGAUUGAAAUGAUAACUCUCCAGUCUUCACCUCUGACAUAUUCUAGCGCAGGGUCCCAUCUCAGCCUAAAUGGCUUCAGACCUGGAGGAAUGCCUCUUUCCAUAAUGCUUCCUUAGAGUACUACCCUUGAUGAAGUGUGUUAUGCUUGACCAAAGGAAAGCACUUUGCUGUGGUGGCACCUGACAAUAGCCUCCUAAGAGAGACUCAGGUAGUGUGUGCUUCUUAAAAAUAAUCUCUAUUAAAAAAGUUAUACAAAAAUCUGCAGAAAACAGUGUUAUCAAACAGGAUCUGAUUACAAUAUACCGUAUUUUUCGCUCUAUAAGACGCACCAGACUACAAGACGCACCUAGUUUUUGGAGGAGGAAAACAAGGAAAAAAAUAUUCUGAAUCCCAGUAGCCAGAACAGCUGUUCUGGUUUCUGGGAUAGCUGUGCAGCCUGCAUUCACUCCAUAAGACGCACACACAUUUCCCCUUACUUUUUAGGAGGGAAAAAGUGAGUCUUAUAGAGCAAAAAAUACAGUACAUAGUCUAUACAUAAUUCUAGAUCACUGUUGAACAAAUACAGACACGAAAUAAAAGCAAAAUAAAUAAACCACAGGUAUGAGAAUGUGGGGAAGGUAGCAACUAAAACCAUAUAUACCACAGAUAUAAUGAGACAAGGUUACAAAACAAAGGCCCUAUUAUACCAGAGGAGAGUAAUCUCAGUAUUCUAAUGCCCUAGAUCACUGCAUCAACCAUAGUCGUUCGUGGGCCAAGGGAAGUCCUGGCUCAGCUCACGAUCUUUUAAGGAUUUCUUCUUUGCCUUGGUAUUUUAAAGGGGCUACAUUUUUAACUGUUGCCUUUUGUUUUUAGCCAUUGCCUUUUGGUCACUGUAGCUUACCGUAUGUUUGGGCAUUUAUGGUGGUUUACGUUUUGAUUUGGGGGAAGAUUUUAUUAUUUCGUAUUACUGCAUACCACCUUGGGAUCCAUUUGGAUGAAGGGCAGUUCAGAAAGUGCUGGAAACAAACAAACAAACAAACAAACAAACAAACAACCAAUAAACAAAUACCACUAACUCCCAUGUGACUGGAUAAUGAAACUGUCUGCUGUACAAAACUGCCAUUUUGCAGGUCAAUCCUCACCCUCAAACAGACAUUAUGAAUUAAAACAGUUCAGAAUUAGUUCACAAAUAUUGAUACCAGAUGUGACCAUGACAACCCUCUUGCAUGCCAGCCUACAUAAACCAUGACAAGAAAAAGGGAUUGUGUACAUAUUUGCCAUUGCUGUACUGGGGUCAUUUUGAACCAAAGCACCUGCCCAAUUAUUCCAUUCAUUAGCUUGCAGGAAAUUAACAAUUGCCUGCUAAUGAAGAUGGAUGUUUACUAUUCCGUUUGACAGAAAAUAAGAUUCUCCUACUGGACAGAAAGAUGGGAUUCAGAUUGUAUUUGUGUGUGUAUUUUGAGAAUCACCAAGCCUGAUGCAAUGUCCUCAAACUUACCCUGAACUCUGCUCUUGAUAUUUGAGCUGAUUAGUUUUCCUAGGUGUUUGAU
ensembl:lncRNA